AAACAACAUAUGAAAGCAAUAACAUUAUCAUCAUCAUGAAAUCAUAUGAAUUAUAUAACAUAACACUUACCACACUUUUGUAUUUCAAUCAUUAAACAACCCAUUUUCCUCAUUUACCAGCCUACUAGUAUCCAUGGGGAUCCAUAGGGGUCCCGCUAUCCGUGAACCCUUAACAUUUAUAACCUGAUUUCAGAGCCGUCCCCAUACCCCGUCCGGUAUGGGCACCAAAACCAUGAACCUCAAUACCCCGUCCGGUAUGAGGGUGAAACGGGCCGUCCCCGUACCCCGUCCGGUAUGGGCGCCAAAACACAUAAGGUCUCCAUACCUCGUCCGGUAUGAGAGACCACGUUCUCGGUAGAGUUCCCUACGGACCCGGUCCGUCCACCAUCUCCCAAGAUAUCUAGUCGGGCUGUCCACAUUAUUCACUUAUCAAUUCACAUAAUCUUUUUGCCUUUUUUCUUGGUUUCAAUCAUCCAAGCACACACAACAUGUAAACCAGUAAUGGACACCAAACAAGACAACACAGCAUCGGAUUCAUUAUCAUGCAACCUAUAAUAAAAGAAACCAUGAUCCAUAC
rnacentral:lncRNA from 1 species